AUUGAACGCUGGCGGCAGGCCUAACACAUGCAAGUCGAACGAGUGGCGGACGGGUGGGUAAUGUCUGGGAAACUGCCUGAUGGAGGGGGAUAACUACUGGACACGGUAGCUAAUACCGCAUACCAUCAGAUGUGCCCCGAUGGGCUUAGCUUGUUGGUAGGGUAACGGCUCACCAAGGACACGAUCCCUAGCUGGUCUGAGAGGAUGACCAGCCACACUGUAACGGAGACACGGGCCAUACUCCUACGGGAGGCAGCAGUGGGGAAUAUUGCACAAUGGGCGCAAGCCUGAUGCAGCCAUGCCGCUUGUAUGAAGAAGGUCUUCGGGUUGUAAAGUACUUUCAGCGGGGAGGCGUUAACCGCAGAAGAAGCACCGGCUAACUCCGUGCCAGCAGCCGCGGUAAUUC
rnacentral:rRNA from 1 species